AGUGGCGCACGGGUGAGUAACGCGUGGGUAAUCUGCCCCGAGACCUGGGAUAACCCGCCGAAAGGCGGGCUAAUACCGGAUAAUGUCCCUCCACACAAGUGGUUGGACCAAAGGUGGCCCUGCUACCGGCUCGGGAUGGGCCCGCGUACCAUUAGCUUGUUGGUAGGGUAACGGCCUACCAAGGCUGCGAUGGUUAGCUGGUCUGAGAGGACGAUCAGCCACACUGGAACUGAGACACGGUCCAGACUCCUACGGGAGGCAGCAGUGGGGAAUAUUGCGCAAUGGGGGAAACCCUGACGCAGCGACGCCGCGUGAGCGAUGAAGGCCCUCGGGUCGUAAAGCUCUGUCAGGUGGGAAGAAACCUUCGGUGAUCAAUAGUCACCGGAAUUGACGGUACCACCAGAGGAAGCACCGGCUAACUCCGUGCCAGCAGCCGCGGUAACACGGAGGGUGC
rnacentral:rRNA from 1 species